rnacentral:rRNA from 1 species
UCGAGGAUCUUCGGCAAUGGGCGCAAGCCUGACCGAGCGACGCCGCGUGUGCGAUGAAGGCCUUCGGGUUGUAAAGCACUGUCGAGGGGGAGGAAAGCCGCAAGGUCUGACCUAUCCCUGGAGGAAGCACGGGCUAAGUUCGUGCCAGCAGCCGCGGUAAGACGAACCGUGCGAACGUUGUUCGGAAUCACUGGGCUUAAAGGGCGCGUAGGCGGUUGAUCAAGUCUGGGGUGAAAUCUUUCGGCUUAACCGGAAAAGUGCCUUGGAUACUGGUCAGCUGGAGGGAGGUAGGGGCAGUUGGAACUUCCAGUGGAGCGGUGAAAUGCGUUGAUAUUGGAAGGAACGCCGGUGGCGAAAGCGAGCUGCUGGACCUCUUCUGACGCUGAUGCGCGAAAGCUAGGGGAGCAAACGG